rnacentral:rRNA from 1 species
GACGAACGCUGGCGGCGUGCCUAAUACAUGCAAGUAGAACGCACAGUUUAUACCGUAGCUUGCUACACCAUAGACUGUGAGUUGCGAACGGGUGAGUAACGCGUAGGUAACCUGCCUGGUAGCGGGGGAUAACUAUUGGAAACGAUAGCUAAUACCGCAUAAUAUUAAUUAUUGCAUGAUAAUUAAUUGAAAGGUGCAAUUGCACCACUACCAGAUGGACCUGCGUUGUAUUAGCUAGUAGGUGAGGUAACGGCUCACCUAGGCGACGAUACAUAGCCGACCUGCGAGGGUGAUCGGCCACGCUGGGACUGAGACACGGCCCAGACUCCUGCGGGAGGCAGCAGUAGGGAAUCUUCGGCAAUGGACGAAAGUCUGACCGAGCAACGCCGCGUGAGUGAAGAAGGUUUUCGGAUCGUAAAGCUCUGUUGUAAGAGAAGAACGGGUGUGAGAGUGGAAAGUUCACACUGUGACGGUAUCUUACCAGAAAGGGACGGCUAACUACGUG